AUAUCUACCUAGCAGGGGAGAUUUCCAUAGUCACUAAAAUCAUUUUCCCAGGGUGAGGCUUAUUCAUUGCAGUCCAGCGGCACUGACCCCUGUGAUUUCCCCAAAUGUGGAAAACUCGACUGCAUUGUGGUAGAGGGGGACUGUGUCUUACUCUUCCCUG
rnacentral:snRNA from 1 species